rnacentral:rRNA from 1 species
GAUGAACGCUAGCGGGAGGCUUAACACAUGCAAGUCGUGGGGCAGCAUUAGGUAGCAAUACUUAGAUGGCGACCGGCGCACGGGUGAGUAACGCGUAUGCAACCUACCCAGUACAGGGGGAUAGCCCGGAGAAAUUCGGAUUAAUACCCCAUAAUGAUAUAGAGAGGCAUCUUUUUAUAUUUAAAGCUUCGGCGGUACUGGAUGGGCAUGCGUAAGAUUAGCUAGUUGGUAGGGUAACGGCCUACCAAGGCUCCGAUCUUUAGGGGUCCUGAGAGGGUGAUCCCCCACACUGGUACUGAGACACGGACCAGACUCCUACGGGAGGCAGCAGUGAGGAAUAUUGGUCAAUGGGCGCAAGCCUGAGCCAGCCAUCCCGCGUGAAGGAAGAAUGCGCUAUGCGUUGUAAACUUCUUUUCCGGAGGAAUAAAAUCUUGUACGUGUACAGGACUGAAGGUACUCCGGGAAUAAGCAUCGGCUAACUCCGUGCCAGCAGCCGCCGUAACAC